UGGGCUGUGGUGUAAUGGUAACACAACAGAUUCUGGUCCUGUUAUUCAUGGUUCGAGUCCGUGCAGCCCAA
rnacentral:tRNA from 1 species